rnacentral:rRNA from 1 species
AUGCAAGUCGAGCGAGACGGUUAAGAAUGAUCCCUUCGGGUGAAUGAUUAGCUAGACAGCGGCGGACGGGUGAGUAACGCGUGGGUAACCUUGCCUUAUACUGGGGGAUAACGUUUUGAAAAGAACGCUAAUACCGCAUAAGCACACAGUAUCGCAUGAUACAGCGUGAAAAACUCCCGGUGGUAUAAGAUGGACCCGCGUCUGAUUAGCUAGUUGGUGAGAUAAAAGCUCACCAAGGCGACGAUCAGUAGCCGACCUGAGAGGGUGAUCGGCCACAUUGGGACUGAGACACGGCCCAAACUCCUACGGGAGGCAGCAGUGGGGAAUAUUGCACAAUGGGGGAAACCCUGAUGCAGCGACGCCGCGUGAAGGAUGAAGGUUUUCGGAUCGUAAACUUCUAUCAGCAGGGAAGAUAGUGACUGUACCUGACUAAGAAGCCCCGGCUAACUACGUGCCAGCAGCCGCGGUAAUACGUAGGGGGCAAGCGUUAUCCGGAAUUACUGGGUGUAAAGGGUGCGUAGGCGGUUUACUAAGUCAGAUGUGAAAGCCCGAGGCUCAACCUCGGGACUGCAUCUGAAACUGGUAAACUAGAAUACAGGAGAGGUAAGUGGAAUUCCUAGUGUAGCGGUGAAAUGCGUAGAUAUUAGGAGGAACACCAGUGGCGAAGGCGACUUACUGGACUGUUAUUGACGCUGAGGCACGAAAGCGUGGGGAGCGAACAGGAUUAGAUACCCUGGUAGUCCACGCCGUAAACGAUG